AACAUAGCCUUUAGCAAAAACAAGUAUUAAAGGUGACGCCUGCCCAGUGAAAUUUAAACGGCCGCGGUAUCCUAACCGUGCAAAGGUAGCGUAAUCACUUGUCUUAUAAAUAAAGACCCGUAUGAAUGGCUAAAUGAGUAUUUAACUGUCUCCUUUAACUAAUUAGUGAAACUGAUCUUUCAGUACAAAAGCUGAAAUANUUAACAUAAGACGAGAAGACCCCGUGGAGCUUUUAAANUUUUUAACAAAGUANUUACAAAAAAGUACCUAUGAUAAAAAAUUUUUAGUUGGGGCGACUUUGGAGUACAACUAAGCCUCCAAGAAAAGGCAUUGCCUAAACCUAAGGCUUACAAGCCAAACCAUAUAGACCCAGUAUCAAAUACUGAUCAACGAACCAAGUUACCCCAGGGAUAACAGCGCCAUCUUUCUUCGAGAGUUCAUAUCGACAAGAAGGUUUACGACCUCGAUGUUGGAUCAGGACACCCAAAUGGUGCAGCCGCUAUUAAAAGGUUCGUUUUGUUCAACGAUUAACAGUCCUAC
rnacentral:rRNA from 1 species